AGGGUUUGAUCAUGGCUCAGAUUGAACGCUGGCUGCAUGCUUAACACAUGCAAGUCGAACGAGAAAGUGCCUUCGGGCGCGAGUAAAGUGGCGGACGGGUGAGUAAUGCAUAGGAAUCUGCCCAGUAGUAGGGGACAACUCGGGGAAACUCGAGCUAAUACCGUAUAUUUCCUAAGGGAGAAAGACUUCGGUCGCUAUUGGAUGAGCCUAUGUCAGAUUAGCUUGUUGGUAGGGUAAUGGCCUACCAAGGCGACGAUCUGUAGCUGGUCUGAGAGGAUGAUCAGCCACACUGGGACUGAGACACGGCCCAGACUCCUACGGGAGGCAGCAGUGGGGAAUAUUGGACAAUGGGCGAAAGCCUGAUCCAGCAAUGCAGCGUGUGUGAAGAAGGCCUGAGGGUUGUAAAGCACUUUCAGUAGGGAAGAUAAUGACGGUACCUACAGAAGAAGCACCGGCUAACUCCGUGCCAGCAGCCGCGGUAAUUC
rnacentral:rRNA from 1 species